rnacentral:tRNA from 1 species
GGGCUCAUGGUCUAGCGGUUGCGCAAUUCCGUCCGCGAAAUUGCGUCGCAAAUGACGGGUGUCUCACACACACCAGAUCUCCGGUUCGAAUCCGGAUGGGCCCA